AUGCACGCUGGCGGCGUGCCUAAUACAUGCAAGUCGAGCGAACAGACGACGAGCUUGCUCCUCUGACGUUAGCGGCGGACGGGUGAGUAACACGUGGAUAACCUACCUAUAAGACUGGGAUAACUUCGGGAAACCGGAGCUAAUACCGGAUAAUAUAUUGAACCGCAUGGUUCAAUAGUGAAAGACGGUUUUGCUGUCACUUAUAGCUGGAUCCGCGCCGCAUUAGCUAGUUGGUAAGGUAACGGCUUACCAAGGCAACGAUGCGUAGCCGACCUGAGAGGGUGAUCGGCCACACUGGAACUGAGACACGGUCCAGACUCCUACGGGAGGCAGCAGUAGGGAAUCUUCCGCAAUGGGCGAAAGCCUGACGGAGCAACGCCGCGUGAGUGAUGAAGGUCUUCGGAUCGUAAAACUCUGUUAUUAGGGAAGAACAAAUGUGUAAGUAACUAUGCACGUCUUGACGGUACCUAAUCAGAAAGCCACGGCUAACUACGUG
rnacentral:rRNA from 1 species